AGAGUUUGAUCCUGGCUCAGGACGAACGCUGGCGGCGUGCCUAAUACAUGCAAGUCGAGCGGAGUUGAAGAGGUGCUUGCACCUCAGAUGCUUAGCGGCGGACGGGUGAGUAACACGUAGGCAACCUGCCUACAGGACGGGGAUAACAUUCGGAAACGGAUGCUAAUACCAGAUACACGAUUUUCUCGCAUGAGAGAAUC
rnacentral:rRNA from 1 species